GGGAAAUGACAGUGUAGAUAAGGCCUAAGCAUCACAGCCAGUUCCUUAAACAAAUACAGAGUUUUUGUACUGAAGAAGGGGUUUGUGCUCUGGUAUCUGGUGAAGUGGUGUGGGAAGAACAAGAUUAUCAGCAGCAGUGUCAUACAUUUAAUAAGAAUUGGAUUUAUAGUCUGGAUUGCCUUACAGGAAGAGAGCCCUCAGACAGGACAGUAUAAGCCUACAAGAAGUUCCUGCAAGACCGGCAUGGCUCGUAGUGUGUAACUGAUGAAUCCCUUAAAUACUGCCAG